ACCCGCCCUGCAUUUAAUGUGCCCAGGAAAUUCAGAGAGAGAGAAAUGGCGGGAUGUUUGGCAUCAAGUACCGCCCCCACUUCCCCAGUCCCCAUCAAGCUUGAAUUUGCUUUCAGCUUGAAAAGAUAGGACUGCUUUUACAUUUUGGAUAGAAUAAAAGAGCAGAAAUAAAAGAAGGCUUGCUGCUACCAGAAAGUCAUUAAGGCAUUAGUUUCUCUAAGAAGACAGAUCUGAAGAAUGUGCAAGAAAAUGAGAAAAAAAUAAAAACAAGGUCUCUAUUGGCUUUCCUGAACGUAAGAAAAAGAAUCUUCAGAGAAAAAGGAAAGAGGAAGAGGGGAGGGGGCUCAGAAAACAAUAACAGCAGCCUAUCUACAUUGUGCUUUACAGUCUACAGUGUGCAUUCAUAUUUAACACUUUGGACUGAACAUUUGACACUUUGGAGUGAAUAGAUAUAAUUAUCCUCAGUUUACAGGUGGGAAAAUGAAGGCACAGAAAAGAUGAAGAAAUGAAGGCUCGGAAUGGACAAGUAACUUAUCGAAGGACACAUAGCUAAGUGGUAAUAGUUGGAUUUUGAACUUAGACCGUUUGGCACUUGAUUCUAUUUUACUACAUUACACUGCUGCCUAUUAGAAAGUUCAAUCACUGAUCAUAUUGCCUAACAAAUAAUAAAUUCAUUAUAAACAUUUAUUGAAUGAAUGAGAAUGAAUGAAUUAAUGUUGAUACGGGUUAAACUUGUAGGACAAUCUCACUAUGCUAGUAUUGUUAUAAAGAAGAAAACUAGGUAAUUAUUCAUUACACUUAAUCCAUGUUGAUGACCAGGCCAAGUCAAACACUCAUUUAUGACUCAAUAUUAUCUUCUUUUUUUGACCAGCUAUUAUAAUUACCUAAACCAUUCACUGAGAAUUUCCUAAAACAAAGCAAAAAGAAGAAGGUAUAGUAUCAGAUAAAUUUGGUAUCUAACUCAAGACCAAUAUUUCACAUUUCAAAUUAUUCCACGGACCAGUAUAAUCUAAAUUUAUUACUAAAGAUGCCAACAGACAUGGAGAAGAGAAAAAAAUUAAGAAAGUCAUAAUAUAACCACUGUCAAAGCAGAUGGGGUGGAAAGGAAUCUAGGAACUAUACAUUUGACUUUCUGGACUAAUCCAUGAGAUUAUUGUUUAGACGGAUUGCUCUAUACUGCAUAAUUCAAGUUUUACCUCAUACUAUUUGUAUGUGUUUCUCUCUGUCCAUCUGUAUUGAGUUUUCUAGUUUGACAAUGGACAUUAUUCUGGUGAGCUGGCUAAUUUCCAAGACUCCCUUUUAUUUCAUAACAGAUAGAAUUAGCCACAAUUUCUAUUUCACACUGCCUAUGUGUAGACACAGGGAUCACUCAAUUUGCAAGAAGAAAAAUAAGUUACCGUG
rnacentral:lncRNA from 10 species